UCAGAAUAUUUUAAGGAAAUGAGCAAAACUAGGUAUGCUUCCCUUCAAGAGUUUCCCCCCAAAAUGCUGAAUUUACUAUAAUUAGUUUUGUUCUCUACAGAAACCUUCAUUUAGUGGCAACGCCAUUAAACAAGUGAAAUACAAAUUACAAGUGACAUUUAUAUGAUCAUAAUCACUCCUUCCUGGCUGCCAGGAAUAUUUUCUCAUAGAGAACCUGCAUUUCUGCAGAUGGUAUGAAAAAAAAUGAGGCCUGCAGAACACACCAUUAUUCCUGUGAGGCCGUCAGUUCAUUAGUCGAAGCAGCCAAGUCUUGACGAGCCGCAACUGAUCAGCAAAUGGGAAAUGAGCAGGAGUAUAAAUUCCCAGCAAACUGAAUCAUUAACAUUUGCUGCCUGCAUCCUGGAAACCCGCCAAUGAGGGAGAAGAUGUAUUGUGUGUGUCUGCUCAGUCUCCUCACAAUAGGCUAUUCUACCUCCUGGAAUCUUCCAUCACUGUGAGAUAAGGAUGCCAGCAUUCCCCUUUAUGUCCUCAGGGAUCAGAUAUCUGCAGAUCUGUAGGAAAGUGUCCUCUUUUCCAGUUCUCCAAUAAUUGGCAAGCGACCCACACCAGCAUGCUGCAGAGGAAGGUAAAAAAUCUCCAAGGUCACUGCCAAUCAGAUCUGGAGAAAAAAAUCUUCCUGGUCCCAUAUAUUGUGUUCAGUUACAUUCUGAAUAUGUUUUAACAAGAACCAGACAGCCAAGCACCUAGAGAGAGAAUGCUCGGUGCCACCUCACAGCCCUGGCCCACCACAUCCAAUGUCCCAUCUCCAGCCUGGGCCAUCCCUGAUGCUUCAGAGGAAAGAGAUUUUUAAAAAUACCUGGCAUAAACUGGGGGAAAGGAAAUCCCUUCCUGCCCCCUGCAGGUGGCUUGCUGAAACCCUGAAGAAUGAGCCUUUAUAUAUGCUAAUUUAUGUGAGUGAAGUGUGUGAUUUAUUUAUAAGCAUUCAUUAAGGAGAUUUCUAUAAUACAACUAUGAAUCAUAUCAUCAAUGGCAGAAUUCAUCCUAACUCCAAUUAUUGUCUUAUCUCACUUAAACUUUCACCUAGAUAUGUUUGCAUUAUUGCACACUCUCAUAAGAUAAAUUUAAAAUGAAAAUGCCUGAAGCAAUACUGUCCACUUCACUAUGACAGUAAUAUUUUGUUGUAAAUCUCCUGUGGAAGAGUUAAGUCUGUAUUCAUUUCAGUGAGAGUCAAUACAACCCUAACUAUUCAUUCCUUGGUGUUGUAGUUUGUUUUUUUAACUCAAACUUUCUUGAACGAUUACAACAUAUACUUAGAGUUGGGUUUUCUAAAGCAUUCAGCAUUGGCCUAACUCUGCUCCCUUUGAAGUCAUUGCUCCUAAACCACAGAUCUAUACUUGCCACCUUAACUAUCCCUUAACAAAGCUUGUUCUCUAAACAUAUUCUUCAGCUUCUCUGUUGUAUGUUUGUGAAAAUUAUUAGGAAUCCUAAUGAAAACCAUUGAAAACAGCUAUCAUGCAGGGCCCCACACUGAAAUUGAUAGUUGAAAUGGAGAAAUCUGCAUAUUUGAAAUGACUCUAUGUUGCUGUGAAUGUAGAACUUAUAUUUAGCUCCUAUAAUUCCCUGAGCCCGAAUUUUAUAAUGAAGUAGAAAUUAAUGUAAGGAUAAAUUCUCAUCACAAAGUACAGCUCAUAACUGUUUAAGUUCAGUUUAUGGUCUGUUGAUUGGCUAAGUCUGAGUUAAUUGAAAGUAAUUAUAAAUAGGCAAUUUGCAAACUGAAAAAAGAAAAUCAGAGUGAAAAAUUAAGCUUCCAUGGUCCAAUUCAGCGAGUCUUAUAGUUGGAGCAAAGAAACUUUGAUAUAAAUGUAAUUCCUCAGAGACAAUGCUCUUCCCACUACUAUUAUUUGAAAAAUAAAUGUAAACAGAUUCUGCACUCUCCAUCCAACAAAAGGUCCUAUUGGCAUGAAAUUUCUCUAGUGUAAAAUGUCUUCUUCCCUCUAAACAGAUACCAUACAUUGUACCCAAAGUCAAAGUAUGUUACAAAAAUAUAUUACAAAAUAUCUUUAUAUGUAUUACAAAAUAUCUUUAAGUUAAGGUAUGGUGAUAAAACAUGACCUUCUGAAUAUUUUGGGGGUUCAGUGAUAUUGUAUGAAUAUUAACUAUAUUUACUAAGCCUUGUCAUCUUAUAUUUGUCUGUAAAGCAUUAUGCACACCAGUAGAAAAUAGCAAUGAAUAAUAAUAGUGUGAUCCAUAUAUUUAAGUGGCAUAAAAGCCUACCUAGGCUGUAGUACUUACGAAAAAAGAAAACAUCAUGUCAUUAUUUAUAUACUUAGUUACUCUGCAGAGUGAUUGUAAAAUAGCUUUAAAUCCUACUCAGCUCUUCUAUCUCGGCUGAUUACUUUAUCGGAACAGUGAAAUGAAUUUUAAUUAUAAUAUGACAUUUCCAUGAAAUAUUCUGAUAGAUGUUCGUCUUAUUUUUCCAUCAGUCAUCAUAAACAGAAGGAAACAUUCAUGAUAUUCAGCUACCAAAAUACCUCCAGUACUGCCUACCAAAGAUACCUUCAGUGUUCAUCGAUUAGCUCUGAUGUCACACAGACUCCAAAGUAUUGUAAUGUUAUUCCCCAAAACAGCCCCGCCUUCUGAAAGUGGUUCUUCCGAGAAUGAUGUAGAAACAUGUUGAUGCUAAGCUGUGAGGCAAACUGCUUGCCUAGCCCUAUUGUGAAGGCACCUUUAUAUGCAAAAGUAUCUGUCUCCUUAGCUGGGUAACCUGCAAAUCUUUAGUUGAUAGUUGUUCAGGAAAAUGUAACACAUUUUGCAGUCUAUAAGGCAGGAUGCUCUGCUGGCCUAUCUAUACUCUACUGGCCUUACAGUCAGCAGUUUUGUGAUCCUUAGCCUGGAUUUUGGAUAUUCCAGAGAUGAUAUCACACCACUUACUGUAGCCGCUGAAUACUAAUGAGGAGUUAGGGAAGAUUUGCAACUGCUGAGCCUGAAAUUGUUUGAGAAUUUUAUUUGUACAUUUCCCUUUGCAGGUUUUGUCACAACUCACUUGUCUCUGUCCUCCCACAUCCUAUAUUUAUUGAGAAACAAAUAUAAAUUCCAAAGAUCAAUAAUCUUGGGCCUGAAAGCUCUGUCCUGUGAGUGAAAUACGUCUUUAAAAGUGUAGCUCUAUGAGUUGUGUGCAUACACUUGAAACUUCUGUUUAAUUUCUGUUCUUGAACCUCCUUUUUAAAAUCCAGAUAAAUGCUGGACCAGGUGUAAUUUAUUAGCCCAACAGUAAUAGCCUUUCAAUAUCCUAACCGGACUGCUGUCUUCCCUCUGAAUAUUCCAACAGGCAUACAGUAAGGAUUCAGAUUUUUUUAAACACAGCAAAUUAAUCACAGAAUUAGAGCAAUUAUGUAACAAGUUAAAUGCACAGGGACUUACUUUCAUAAAUGCAACUGAAAAUAGGAGUGUAACCCUCCCCAGUUAGUGGGGGGACUGAAAUUGACUUUCAAGUGAGCAGAACAGGUCCAGUCUCUCCUUAGUUGAAAGCCCAGCCUAGAACCAGAGGCUCAACACAUUCAUGAAGAAGGCUUUGUGCUUCCUGAUUAUUGUACUACUGCAGAGUGCAGGGAUGCAUUCCUAAUCAAUAAUUAGUCAUUAAAACAGCAUGGACUAUCUUCCACAGGCAGCAUCAUUUUCGUUGGUAGCAUUUCCUUCUUUCAAGUAAUCUAAAUGAGUCUGCUGUUUUUGUUUUUGCUUUCCCAGUCAACCAUCACCAUGUUUAUCAGAUGCUUUCUCUUUGUCACAGAGGCCCAUUGCAGCUUCUGAUAUCUGAAAGGUCUGAGCCUGUGACUAUAUAAAAGAUGCUAAUAGAUAUGUAACCACUAUAUAGAGAGCUGGUUGAAAUUUUCUGUCAAUGUGAUUUUUGGAUAGAAAAUACGGUUUUUGCAAAACUGAAAUUUUCCAC